rnacentral:lncRNA from 7 species
GAUAGAAAGCGGGGCAGCAGUAGGGUUUAGGUCAAAAAUAAAAAUAAACAUGGGUAAGUUAGGUAUCCAAUAAAUAUUUAUCUAUCCUAAUUUUAUGGUGUAUUCUUACGUCCUUUGCUUAUAAAAAAGGUAACAAACGAAAGAAAAAAUCUCUCUAUUCCCGCGUCUUCUAUUCAGAGCAUCCCCUACUCUUUUUUAGGGAAAGAGCGAUGUAUCAUAUUUCUACUUAAUGCUCUCCAAUUCUACCAGAAAUCAUAUAAGAAUUUGUUAGGAGUAAAUUCCUUUAACGGAUUCAUCCAUAGUCUUAGGGCAGAAUGGCCUUUUGACUCUGUACCCUUGAUUCCACUAUGAUUAUUGAUCAAUAGUAGAAGAAUUCUUUCAUAGAAAUAGGAGACAUAAUUUACAUGGAUAUAGUAAGUCUCACUUGGGCUGCUUUAAUGGUAGUCUUUACAUUUUCUCUUUCGCUAGUAGUAUGGGGGAGGAGUGGACUCUAGGGAUACUACCAAUUGAUUGAGUAGUCGAAUUGUAGUAUCAACUCUUUUCUUUAAUUGAUCGUUUUGCAUUAAUAAUUUUGCCAAACUUUAUUUUUUCUCUCUUUCUUUAGUUUUGUUUCACUCUUGUAAGAAACUCUUUUAAGAAAGUAAGAAAGAGUCGUUCUAUUCCAGUAUAAUAGAAUAGAAAGGGCGAUUAUAGUAAUUCAUAACUUCUAUUCUACUAGAAAUUAUGAGUAAAAAGAAAGUUCUAUACAUAAGAAAAUUAGAACAUAAGAAAAUUAGACUUUCUUACACGAAGCUAUUCACAAUAUAUCGCACAUUUUCCAUUUAUACUAUUUUCUUAUUCUUAGAAAAUUUUUGAUGUUCUUUUUUUUUUUGAAGGAUCUCGAUUGAAGCAUCUCGCACCUUUUUUAAGCAUGAAAGAUUCGUAGGUUUUUUCCUUUUACUUUUUUUCUUUUACUAUAAUCUAUUCUAGUCUAUUCUCGUAUUAUUUUUCUCCCCCUCCUUGGAUUCUUUCAAUGAAGAAUUAUCUUCGAUUUUUUUGAUUUUGACUUGAUUGAAAUUAAGUGGAUGCAGUGAAAAAAGAAGUUGAAUUAGACUACUAUUUCAAUCUACUAAUCGAUUCUAUGUAGAUUCAAGAUAAUAUAAUAGAAAGAAUCUAAAGUGUGGUAGAAAAAACUAUAUGUAGUUCUUUCUACCACACUUUAUGAUUCCAACCAGACCCUUUCAUUUAAGACUUGGAUUUUUUAUUUUCUUUAAUCCCUUUUUCAUUUCUUCAAUGAUUAAUUGGAAUUCCAAUUAAUCAUUUUGACUGGCUGUUUUUACAUAAAUAAUAAGUAAAAAGGCAGUAGGAACUAGAAUGAACAAUGCUGUAGCAAUAAAUGCGAGAAUAUUUACUUCCAUAACCUCUUUAUUUAUUUAUUUUUUUUCACAAUAACUCGGGAUGUAAUCCCAUGGAGAGGAAAAAGGGGUAUCCUGUAAAUUCAAGGGGAGGACUUGCAUUCUGAUAAUACUGAAUCAAUUCAAUAUUAUGAAUAUUGCAUCUAUCAAAUCAAUUCAUGGUGGAUAGUGGAAUAAUAUAACAUAGGAAGAUCUCUUAUCCAUACUAAGACCAAAAUAGGUUUUUUGAUUGGAUUCGAAACCCCCUCUAUUCUUUUUUCAUUCUUUUCUACUUUUGCUUUUCUAUAUGUAUAACCCAAAAUCUUUCUUAUCUUAUCCAAUUUCACUUCCUUUUUCUUAUAGUUAUACAUACAAUUAUGUAUGUAUUAUAUGACCAACUUUCUAUGGGUCACAUAGACAUCCCAAUAAGCAGUAGAAGUAGAAAUGAGAUGGAGAAAAGAGGAUCUUAAAUAAAAAGGAUCCCAUAUUUAAAUUUAGGAAAAAGAGCGUUUGCUUGGUUUUUAUUUUAUUAGGUUACUAUCCAUAUACGCUUUUUGGGGUCUAAAGAUGAGAGCAAAUCCAUAAAAAAAGGAGUCGGCAAAUGGAGUGAGAAUGAGGUGGAUUCUUUCCAAUUAUAUACACAAACAAAGUUGGAACUAGAAAAUGGAAGGGGUGCGGUUUAACCCCCAAAAAGUAACUAAUUAGAUGAAAUUCAUUCUCUAACAAUAAACGAAUACGGUUUAUGUAUGGAUUCCGGUAAAAUACCGGUACUCGAUUUCAUAAGAGUCGAAUAGGAAGUUAAGAUGAGGGUGGUAUCAUCAUAAAAAUGGAGUAGUAUCCUAAAUUAUACUAAUCCACGUAUGAUAUGUAUGCCUUUCCUUAUCAACCGGAAGUAGUGCAAAAAAAAUUCUAUACUGCACUGCUCUCUUUUUACUGAGAAAUGCAAAAAAAUAAAAGUGAAGUAAGGGUGCCCCAUAGAUAUUUGAUCUUGCCUCCUGUCCCCCCCCCCUUUUUUCAUCAAAAAUUUCCAUGAAAAAAGAAAAGAUGAAUUUGUCCAUUCAUUGAACCCUAGUUCGGGACUGACGGGGCUCGAACCCGCAGCUUCCGCCUUGACAGGGCGGUGCUCU